ACCAAAAUGGCUGAUAAAAGUAAUAAACUGUAAAUUUAUUCAUGAAUAAUAAUUCUUUUGGUA
rnacentral:tRNA from 1 species